AGUGGGUGUAGCGUACCUACUAGCCUACGACGGGUACGGGUUGUGAGAGCAAGAGCCCGGAGAUGGAUUCUGAGACACGAAUCCAGGCCCUACGGGGUGCAGCAGGCGCGAAAACUUUACAAUGCUGGCAACAGCGAUAAGGGAACCUCGAGUGCCAGGUUACAAAUCUGGCUGUCGAGAUGCCUAAAAAGCAUUUCAUAGCAAGGGCCGGGCAAGACCGGUGCCAGCCGCCGCGGUAACACCGGCGGCUCGAGUGGUAACCGUUAUUAUUGGGUCUAAAGGGUCUGUAGCCGGCCGGAUAAGUCUCUUGAGAAAUCUGGCAGCUUAACUGUCAGGCUUUCAGGAGAUACUGUCUGGCUCGAGGUCGGGAGAGGUGAGAGGUACUUCAGGGGUAGGGGUGAAAUCUUGUAAUCCUUGAAGGACCACCAGUGGCGAAGGCGUCUCACCAGAACGGACCUGACGGCAAGGGACGAAAGCUAGGGGCACGAACCGGAUUAGAU
rnacentral:rRNA from 1 species